rnacentral:piRNA from 1 species
UCAACCUACUUUUGAGGUGAAAAGCUAAGC